UCAAAUUUGGUGUGAUACUA
rnacentral:siRNA from 1 species